GCCAUUCCCUGGAUUACAGCAAUCAGACCAUCCAAAGCAAGAAUGUGCAUGGCAGACAACGGAGAGUUCACUGGAAAUGCACUCUUAGAUAAUAAAUUCGCAAGGUCUUCAAAAAUGUUACUGCAGGUAAUACAGACAACGGAGAGUUCACCGGAAAUGCACUCUUAGAUAAUAAAUUCGCAAGGUCUUCAAAAAUGUUACUGCAGGUGAUAUCGCAAUCUAAAUUUCCAUACAUUUCUACCAUGAAGGAUUUUUGUCUGCAAAAGUCAACAAGAGCCUCCAUUGCUACUUCCUGCUGCUGGUAUGAAGCCCCAUAACGACUUUGUGCAAGUCUCAGGACCACA
rnacentral:lncRNA from 1 species